CUGAAGUGAUCAGUUGCAUGUAAGUCCGUGUUUCUGAUAGCCAGUGAUUAUUAACAUGCUCUGAUUUA
rnacentral:snoRNA from 1 species